rnacentral:rRNA from 1 species
CAGCUUAGCCGAUAUGGUUAAGCCGCGAAUGGCUCAUUACAACAGCCAUAGUUUGUUGGAUCUUAAAGUCCUACUUGGAUAACUGUGGUAAUUCUAGAGCUAAUACACGCAAUUAAACCCUAACCUUAUGGGCAGGGUGCAUUUAUUAGAACAAAACCAAUUGGCUUCGGUCAUUUUUGGUGAAUCUGAAUAACUACGCUGAUCGCACGGUCUCGCACUGGCGACGUAUCCUUCAAGUGUCUGCCUUAUCAACUGUCGAUGGUAGUUUAUAUGACUACCAUGGUUGUAACGGGUAACGGAGAAUAAGGGUUCGACUCCGGAGAGGGAGCCUGAGAAACGGCUACCACAUCCAAGGAAGGCAGCAGGCGCGCAAAUUACCCACUCUCAGAACGAGGAGGUAGUGACGAAAAAUAACGAGACAGUUCUCUAUGAGGUCUGUCAUCGGAAUGGGUACAAUUUAAACCCUUUAACGAGGAUCUAUUGGAGGGCAAGUCUGGUGCCAGCAGCCGCGGUAAUUCCAGCUCCAAUAGCGUAUAUAAAAGUUGUUGCGGUUAAAAAGCUCGUAGUUGGAUCUGCGAUCGUAGACACUGGUUCCCUUCACGGGAUACUUGCUGUCUCGAUCUACCUUGUUAGACGUCCCUUAGUGCUCUUCACUGAGUGCUCUGGGUGUCUAGCUCGUUUACUUUGAAAAAAUUAGAGUGCUUAACGCAGGCAUUUGCCUGAAUAGUGGUGCAUGGAAUAAUGGAAUAGGACCUCGGUUCUAUUUUGUUGGUUUUAAGAGCAUGAGGUAAUGAUUAAGAGGGACAGACGGGGGCAUUCGUACUGCUACGUUAGAGGUGAAAUUCUUGGAUCGUAGCAUGACGAACAACUGCGAAAGCAUUUGCCAAGAAUGUUUUCAUUAAUCAAGAACGAUAGUUAGAGGUUCGAAGGCGAUCAGAUACCGCCCUAGUUCUAACCGUAAACGAUGCCACUUGACCCCGAUGAUCUUGCAUUCUGCUGGUUGUCGGAGUCGCCCGGAAACGAUUAAAGUUUUCGGUUCCGGGGGAAGUAUGGUUGCAAAUCCGAAACUUAAAGGAAUUGACGGAAGGGCACCACCAGGAGUGGAGCCUGCGGCUUAAUUUGACUCAACACGGGGAAACUCACCCGGCCCGGACACUGUAAGGAUUGACAGAUUGAAAGCUCUUUCACGAUUCAGUGGAUGGUGGUGCAUGGCCGUUCUUAGUUGGUGGAGCGAUUUGUCUGGUUAAUUCCGAUAACGAACGAGACUCUAGCCUACUAAAUAGUAUGGAGAUCUUUACGUCUCCACUACUUCUUAGAGGGACUGACGGCGUUUAGCCGUACGAAAUUGAGCAAUAACAGGUCUGUGAUGCCCUUAGAUGUCCGGGGCUGCACGCGCGCUACACUGUAGACAGCAACGUGCUUCAAAACCUUUUCCGAAAGGAAUGGGUAACCCCAUGAAACGUCUACGUGAUUGGGAUUGAGAUUUGCAAUUAUCUCUCAUGAACGAGGAAUUCCCAGUAAGUGCGAGUCAUCAGCUCGCGUUGAUUACGUCCCUGCCCUUUGUACACACCGCCCGUCGCUACUACCGAUUGGGAAAAUUUCAGAAUGCUUAGGACUGUGGCUUGUUUGGCCUUUGGCUUUACUCGUCGCGGAAAUAAGUAUAAUGAUAUUCCUAGAGAAGUAAAGUCGAAAG